rnacentral:rRNA from 1 species
UACGAAGGGGGCUAGCGUUGUUCGGAUUUACUGGGCGUAAAGCGCACGUAGGCGGAUCGUUAAGUCGAGGGUGAAAUCCUGGAGCUCAACUCCAGAACUGCCUUCGAUACUGGCGAUCUCGAGUCCGGAAGAGGUGAGUGGAACUCCUAGUGUAGAGGUGGAAUUCGUAGAUAUCAGGAGGAACACCAAUAGCGAAGGCAGCUCGCUGGGACGUUACUGACGCUGAGGCGCGAAAGCGUGGGGAGCGAACAGG